rnacentral:rRNA from 1 species
UCGAGAAUCAUUCGCAAUGGGCGAAAGCCUGACGAUGCGACGCUGCGUGAGCGAUGAAGGCCUUCGGGUCGUAAAGCUCUUUCGCCUGGGAACAAGAGAGGUCUGCUAACAUCAGGCCAAUUUGAGGGUAUCAGGUAAAGAAGCACCGGCUAACUCCGUGCCAGCAGCUGCGGUAAUACGGAGGGUGCAAGCAUUAAUCGGAUUUAUUGGGCGUAAAGGGCGCGUAGGCGGGGAGGAAAGUCAGAUGUGAAAUCCCGGGGCUCAACCUCGGAACUGCAUUUGAAACUUCCUUUCUUGAGGGUAGGCGGAGAAAAUGGAAUUCCACAAGUAGCGGUGAAAUGCGUAGAUAUGUGGAAGAACACCGGUGGCGAAGGCGAUUUUCUAGCUUACUCCUGACGCUGAGGCGCGAAAGCUAGGGGAGCAAACAGGAUUAGAUACCCGUGUAGUCC